AGCUUUGGAGAGGGACCUGGCCGGAGACUGCCGGGCUUCAGGGAAAGAUCACCUUCCCAUCUCCUUUCCAGCCUUCCUUUCCGCUGAGAGCCACCCACCGCUCAAUACAGUCUUCCGCAUUCAUCACCUUUCAAACAGAAAUAAAACAUUAACCAAAAGAGCAUGGGCAGAUAUUUCCUGGAUCUGAACAGGAAUAUUUGUUGUCUGAACUCUAUGAAGAAUCUUCACGUGCAGUGAUAGAACAAUAAACACAUUUGAACCAAGUUCAUCAUGGAGAGAGUGAGUGGGUUGGGGAAAAGGUAUUUUAUGUUUGAGGAGUGAGGAGAAGGUGUCAAAUAAUCAUCCAGGCAGGCUUUUGUAGUGCCCAGUGGCCAGUGACCAGCAGCAUGUGUUUCCAUAGGCAUCUUCUCCCAGGACCCCAGAAGGUGAAUUGCCAGUGAGUCCUGCCAGCAGGCCCCUCAGUGACUGCACUGCUCAGUAAAAAGACAUCCCUCAACUAUGGUAAACAACAACAACAACAACAACAAAACAAAACAAAUAAAAAAAAACCCUGCAUCAAUUUGAUAAAUAAUCCUCCCCGUUCAUAUCACUGUUUUUUUUUUUUCUGCACAUCUUACUGGUAUUUAAAUGC